GGAAGUGAGGGCAAUCUGGCUGCGACAUCUGUCACCUCACUGAUUACCAGCGUCGAUUCAGCUGAUCUGACUGGCUAGGAGAGGGUCCUUUUCCUCCCUCAGCACUCCAUGUAUGUCCCUCUUGAAGCUGCACUCUUGGUUGAAGAUGAUGAUCAACCCCAAUAGAGGAGGACCAGUCUUCUUCAGUCAAGGGUAUGUUAGUGCUGCACUCCACUGCUAGAACAUCCAAACAAGCUCCCAAGAAGGAGCGAUUUUUACUCAUCAGUUUACAAGUUUGCUAUACAAGUUAGGCAAGCUGAGUG
rnacentral:snRNA from 1 species